rnacentral:misc_RNA from 1 species
AACGCACAUUGCGCCUUCUGGUAUUCCGGUAGGCAUGUCUGUUUGAGCGUCAGCAAACACCCUCAGCUGAGUAUUUUUUUGUACUCAUGCUGGUCUUGGGCUUGGAAGCUGGGUUUAACCCCCCUGCGCCUGCCCUAAACUUGCUGCACGACCGCUGGCUUCGGCUGGGUCAAUGGAGUGGUGUCACAAUCUUCCAGAAGACUUUCAACUGUAGCGCGGUGGCGUUAAACCUGCUGUCCGAAAGGACCGAAGUUUUGACCUCAGAUCAGAUAAGGAUACCCGCUGAACUUAA